rnacentral:rRNA from 1 species
UACAGAGGGUGCAAGCGUUGUUCGGAAUUAUUGGGCGUAAAGGGCGCGUAGGCGGCCUGGCAAGUGGAUGGUGAAAUCCCUCGGCUUAACCGAGGAACUGCCAUCCAGACUGCUUGGCUUGAGACCGGGAGAGGUGAGUGGAAUUCCCAGUGUAGCGGUGAAAUGCGUAGAGAUGUGGAGGAACACCGAUGGCGAAGGCAGCCUUCUGGGCCAACACUGACGCUCAUGCACGAAAGCGUGGGGAGCAAACAGG